GGCUCAAAGUGCCAGGUGGUUACAUCAAAAUAAAGCAAAAAAGACAAAUACCACUGGAAGAAGUAAAAUAAUAAAAGCAAACAGCAAGAAAACAAAAAAGAAACAGACCAAAGGUCCAAAACCAUAAAUGCGCGCACAGAAAGGUUCUAAAAAACCACAAAAGUAAAAAACAAAACCCACUCUGGCCUUCAAACAAAAAAGAGAGCAUCCACAAAUACCAGCCAAAAACAGCUUCCUUCUCCUUGUAAAAGACAAUUCAGAUUUGAGAGGAAAACCCAAGUGCUUUGAAACUAGACAUGGAGAUUCAGAGAACCUUUUCCACUACAAAGCAAACUAUGGCAAUCUUUGAUUCGUCUGCAUCCAGCUCCUCCAAUCCCUCUCCACAAACCGCGUUACUGAAGCCGGAACUCCAUCAACCCAAAACCUAGAUCUUUGACUUCUUCGCCCUUCCGCUGCCAGGGUAUGGGCUGCAUCAUUAACAGAACGAGGAACAAAAAGCUUUUUGAUAACUGUCAAAGAAUCCCCUUCUACGACCAGGAACCGGAACCCCAUCAUUCGUGCGAACAGUAACGACCUUUCACAUGCCCGUGCUUCAGCAAUGAACACAUUAGCAACAUCCUCUAUCAGAUAAGUUUCGGCUCCUCUAAUUCCACUUCUAGAAUCUCUGGCUAAAACUGCUAUUGUAGAUUCUAGAAUCUCUUUGAAAGGUAGCGUCAAAAUUAAUCUUGAUGAAACCCAAAACUGGAGGCA